CGCAGGCUGCAACCCGCCUGCGUGAAGUCGGAAUCGCUAGUAAUCGUAGAUCAGCAUGCUACGGUGAAUACGUUCCCGGGCCUUGUACACACCGCCCGUCAAACCAUGAGAGUUGGCAACACCCGAAGCCUGUAGCUUAACCGCAAGGACGGCGCAGUCGAAGGUGGGGUCGAUGAUUAGGGUUAAGUCGUAACAAGGUACC
rnacentral:rRNA from 1 species